GAGUUGAACAUCUUAGUCAUAAUUUAUAUACUUCAUAUACUUUGAAAAUCAGUUAUUAUUAAAAAAGUUAUGCAAAAUAAGAAAGUAUUUUGUUUUCCAGCCAGAUAGAUCGCUUUGUUGCCCUUUCCCGAAUGAAGCAAAGUGGAGCAUUUCUAACUACAAGUGAACUAGUGAUCCUACAGUUGCUUCAGGAUGCUGCUCAUCCAAGAUUUAAAGAGGU